UACGAAGGGGGCGAGCGUUGCUCGGAAUUACUGGGCGUAAAGGGAGCGUAGGCGGAUAGGUCAGUCAGAGGUGAAAUCCCAGGGCUCAACCUUGGAAUUGCCUUUGAUACUGGCUGUCUUGAGUAUGGGAGAGGUUAGCGGAACUCCGAGUGUAGAGGUGAAAUUCGUAGAUAUUCGGAAGAACACCAGUGGCGAAGGCGGCUAACUGGCCCAUUACUGACGCUGAGGCUCGAAAGCGUGGGGAGCAAACAGG
rnacentral:rRNA from 1 species